rnacentral:rRNA from 1 species
CCUACGUGGGGCAGCAGUGGGGAAUAUUGCACAAUGGGGAAAACCCUGAUGCAGCGACGCCGCGUGAGUGAAGAAGUAUUUCGGUAUGUAAAGCUCUAUCAGCCGGGAAGAAAAUGACGGUACCUGCUUAAGCCGCCCCGGCUAACUACGUUCCAGCAGCCGCGGUACUACGUAGGGGGCAAGCGUUAUCCGGAUUUACUGGGUGUAAAGGGAGCGUAGACGGCAGCACAAGUCUGGAGUGAAAUGCCGGGGCUUAACCCCGGAACUGCUUUGGAAACUGUGCAGCUAGAGUGCAGGAGAGGUAAGCGGAAUUCCUAGUGUAGCGGUGAAAUGCGUAGAUAUUAGGAAGAACACCAGUGGCGAAGGCGGCUUGCUGGACUGAAACUGACGCUGAGGCACGAAAGCGUGGGGAGCGAACAGGAUUAGAUACCCCUGUAGUC